AUUGAACGCUGGCGGCGCGCCUAACACAUGCAAGUCGCACGCGAAAGGGGGCAACCCCAAGUAGAGUGGCGGACGGGUGAGUAACGCGUAGGAAUCUACCUAGUAGUGGGGGACAACCCGGCGAAAGCCGGGCUAAUACCGCAUACGACCUAAGGGUGAAAGCAGGGGAUCGCAAGACCUUGCGCUCUUAGAUGAGCCUGCGUCCGAUUAGCUAGUUGGUGAGGUAACGGCUCACCAAGGCGACGAUCGGUAACUGGUUUGAGAGAACGACCAGUCACAUUGGGACUGAGACACGGCCCAAACUCCUACGGGAGGCAGCAGUGGGGAAUAUUGGACAAUGGGGGCAACCCUGAUCCAGCGACGCCGCGUGUGUGAAGAAGGCCUUCGGGUUGUAAAGCACUUUCGGCAGGGACAAACAAGACGGAGCUAACAUCUCCGUUCCUGAUGGUACCUGAAGAAGAAGCACCGGCUAACUCUGUGCCAGCAGCCGCGGUAA
rnacentral:rRNA from 1 species